AGGCAACAUACUCUACUCGACC
rnacentral:siRNA from 1 species